rnacentral:rRNA from 1 species
GUGUCAGCAGCCGCGGUAAUACAGAGGGUGCAAGCGUUGUCCGGAAUCACUGGGCGUAAAGGGCGCGUAGGCGGCUCGGUAAGUAGGGGGUGAAAUCUCAUGGCUCAACUGUGAGGCUGCCUUCUAGACUGCCGGGCUUGAGCACAGUAGAGGCUGGUGGAAUUCCCGGUGUAGCGGUGGAAUGCGUAGAGAUCGGGAAGAACAUCUGUGGCGAAGGCGGCCAGCUGGGCUGUUGCUGACGCUGAUGCGCGACAGCGUGGGGAGCAAACAGGAUUAGAUACCCCAGUAGUCC